UGCAGCCAUUUCCGGUUUCGGGGAGGUGGGUGGGGUGCGGAGCGGGACUUGGAGCCGCCGCCGCUUCGGCCACCGCCUACAGAGUCUGUCUUGCGCCUGGUGCUGCCUGGACCAUGCGGCCGGAGCCAGGAGGCUGCUGCUGCCGUCGCCCGCUGCGGGCGAACGGCUGCGUGGCGAACGGGCAGGUGCGGAACGGGUACGUGAGGAGCAGCGCCGCUGCCGCCGCUGCCGCAGCCGGCCAGGUCCAUCAUGUUACACAAAAUGGAGGACUGUAUAAAAAACCGUUUAACGAAGCUUUUGAAGAAACACCAAUGCUGGUUGCUGUGCUUACUUAUGUGGGGUAUGGUGUACUCACCCUCUUUGGAUACCUUCGAGAUUUCUUGAGGUAUUGGAGAAUUGAAAAGUGUCACUAUGCAACAGAAAGAGAAGAACAAAAGGACUUUGUGCCAUUGUAUCAGGAUUUUGAAAACUUCUAUACAAGGAACCUCUACAUGAGGAUUAGAGACAACUGGAAUCGACCAAUCUGUAGUGUGCCUGGAGCCAGGAUGGACAUCAUGGAGAGACAGUCUCAUGAUUACAACUGGUCAUUCAGGUACACAGGGAAUACGAUUAAAGGUGUUAUAAACAUGGGUUCCUACAACUAUCUUGGAUUUGCACGAAAUACUGGAUCAUGUCAGGAGGCAGCUGCCAAAGUCCUAGAGGAGUAUGGAGUUGGCGUGUGCAGCACUCGGCAGGAAAUUGGUAACCUGGACAAGCAUGAAGAACUAGAAAAGCUUGUGGCAAGUUUCUUGGGAGUAGAAGCUGCUAUGGCAUAUGGCAUGGGAUUUGCAACAAAUUCAAUGAACAUUCCUGCUCUUGUUAGCAAAGGUUGCUUGAUUCUGAGUGAUGAACUGAACCAUGCAUCACUGGUUCUGGGAGCCCGACUCUCAGGAGCAACCAUUCGAGUCUUCAAACACAACAACAUGCAGAGCCUAGAGAAGCUAUUGAAAGAUGCCAUUGUCUGUGGUCAGCCUCGGACACGAAGGCCCUGGAAGAAGAUUCUAAUCCUUGUGGAGGGAAUAUAUAGCAUGGAGGGAUCCAUUGUUCGCCUUCCUGAGGUGAUUGCCCUUAAGAAGAAAUACAAGGCAUACCUGUAUCUUGAUGAAGCCCACAGCAUCGGGGCUCUGGGCCCUGCGGGACGAGGUGUGGUAGAUUACUUUGGCCUGGAUCCUGAGGAUGUGGACGUUAUGAUGGGAACAUUUACCAAGAGCUUUGGUGCUUCUGGAGGAUACAUUGGAGGGAAGAAGGAGCUGAUAGACUAUCUGCGAACACAUUCUCAUAGUGCAGUGUAUGCCACGUCACUGUCACCGCCUGUUGUGCAGCAGAUCAUCACCUCAAUGAAGUGCAUCAUGGGGAAGGAUGGUACCACCCUUGGCAAAGAGUGUGUACAGCAGUUAGCUGAAAAUACUAGGUAUUUCAGGAGACGUCUGAAAGAGAUGGGCUUCAUCAUCUAUGGAAAUGAAGAUUCUCCAGUGGUGCCUUUGAUGCUCUACAUGCCAGCCAAAAUCGGCGCCUUUGGACGGGAGAUGCUGAAGCGGAACAUCGGAGUAGUUGUGGUGGGAUUUCCUGCCACCCCAAUUAUUGAGUCCAGAGCCAGGUUUUGCCUGUCAGCAGCUCAUACCAAAGAAAUUCUUGAUACUCCCGUUCCUCACCCACACAGUCUCCUCCUCACGUUUCCACUUGUUCUUCCUGAGUCAGGGCAGCAGUCCACUUUGGGGACUUUCUCCAUCUUGCAUCUGGGAGGCAUCUCAGCGCAGACUUCUCGUCAGUUUUCUGGAGCGUGAUACUGGAAAGAGCUCUCAAGGAGAUAGAUGAAGUUGGGGACCUACUACAGCUGAAGUAUUCCCGUCACCGGUUGGUGCCGCUGCUGGACAGGCCCUUUGAUGAGACCACAUAUGAAGAAACAGAAGACUGAGCCUUUUUGGUGCUCCCUUACGGAAACUCUCCCUCACCCAGGACAGUGUGUGGCCUUUCUGAGCCAGUUCCAGGAACCACACUUCUGUGGCCGUCUCACGUGAAAGACAUUUUCUCAACUACUGACGGUGGCCACCUCCACUCCAAAUGGCAUUUUGUAAAUAGGAAAAACUGCUCCACGUCUUCCUUUGCUGCAUUUCACCUUUUGAAAAAGGCUGUUGCCCUUCCCCAGCCGCCUUGCAGCCUUGGGCCCAUCCAGAGCUGCCAGCCGGCAUCACAGCCUCAAGACUCACCUGGCCCCCCCUCCCUCGGGAGCAAGUGCCUUCCACUUACUUCCACUCCAGAUCCCGGAGGUUGCCAACCUGGGAAUCCUUAUUUAACCAGUCAAGUAAUCAACCAAAGUGUUCUGCUUUUAGUCUUAAGUUUAACCUUUUAAGAAAAACAGAAAACGUUAACACUGUUGAUAUUCUCCCUCGUUGUGUAACUCCCCCUGGUCUAGAGCCUCCCAAGUCGUGAUCUUGUUCCAUUUACUGGAAUGGAACAAAGAUUUCUUCAUUCACCAUCAAAUAUUUCUUCAUGAUGGUCACUGUCUGAGGGUAUGUCCAAUUUCUGGAUUCUCCCCAAGCUGUAACUUAAUGCCCCACCCCCUACGUAGAACACUUAAAUUGUUUUAAAGGCACCCGUACCCCACCCUGAUCAGACCUCCAUGGUGAAGCUGACUCACACUUCAUGAUUCUGUGUUCAAAGCUGCUCCGUGAAGUGAUGUGCAGUCCUGCUGGGUGAGGGGCAGGGGCAGCUGGAAGAAUUGAUUACCACUUGCAGAACCAGACUGUCUGUGGUUUGCUCCUUAAUGCUAUCUGCUUUUCAAAAUUAUGAUGGCCUCUGCCUGGGUCUAGGUCCAGAUUAGGAUUUAAACUGAUAAAGGGAAAUGUUGGUAAAUCCUCUGCUCAGAAAUAAUUUGUCAUGUUCCUAUAAGGAUUAAAGUUAUAAACUUGCCCUUUUUAGAAGUUGGCCCAUUUAAAUAUCACUCUUCUGAGUGCUGGUUCUCUUUAUUCUUGAUGUCCUAAGACAAUUCUAACCUGACAUCAGGGGUUUAGUCUCCCUUGCCUUCCAUUACCUUCCCUUCUUUUAAAGAAAUUCUGAACACAUAUCUGUUGGCCAAACUGGCACCGUCUCUACUGACUCUGUUUUCAUAUCAGGUAAGGGGACUUCUUUCAGAGAGCUUUAUGCUGCUUGACCAAAGAACACAUCUGAAAAUCACCAUGUUAAAGUUCUUUUAUUUUUAUUUUUUUCUGUUAAUCAAAGCUUCAGUGAAAAGAACUUUAGACUUUAUUCUGCCCAAGAUCAGCUUGUCUUUUUUUAGUAGCCAUCAGGUAUGAUAGGGAAAGAUUGAGAACCCAAUGGAAAAGAAUCCUGUGAAAGUGUUUUUGCACAUCUCUAAUUGUGAAACCACUCCUUUCAUUGGUAAGAAUUCUCAGUCCAGAUUCUCUUGGGCAUCUUAUCAUCAGCUGUGGUAUGUUUGUGCUAAUAUGUGUAGUGGAGGAUGUAUGCACUAUUAUUGUUUGUGAAGUUUUGUUUUCGUGUCUCAACUUGUCUUUGAUCACUCUCAGCAUCUGAGAGCCUUAAGCCCUUGAAAUGUUCCAAGGUUUCAUUUUACUUUUUUAAAGAAUAGCAAGGGGUGAAUAAAAGAACCAUGUGGAUAUGCGGGGACUAUACUUAGCAUGUACAAGCUGCAGUAAGAAAGAAAUUGUGGUGACCAAGUAACUCGUCCUGUAAAAUAAAGUGCAUUGCUACCCUUUCCUGUACAUCUAGUGUCUCACCCUAGGACCCCAUAGAGUACCAGAAGGCUUUUGCACUGCAGUUACUAUGUAGUGGUGUAGGGUUUGCAAAAGUCACAAACUUUAUGCAAUGAACUUACUUGCUAGUCUUUAUUUUGGCUUGCAUGAAGUCAGUGCAAUAUAAAAUAUCGGUAUGGGCAUUUAAAAAGUUAUAUAUCACUUUGCUGGCAUAAAGUUAUUUCAGUAUAAAAGUAGUUAAAUUAUAAGUUUAUUUUGAAGAAACAAAAGUCCUAUGAUCGAUCCAGGACCUCUGCUGUCUAGAGGACAAAACAUUAUACAUGCUGGUUGUCUCUUCUUGAAACUGUAAUAUAAAUCUAGGAUCCAGUCAUAUAGCAAGUAUCAUUCUUUAACCAAGCCCUUGGGGGAAUACAAGUGUAUAUAAAUACAGUCCUUGAGAACAAGUCGAAAUCUGGGACUUGUAAGUAUUGUUUAGUACAUGGUUUAACACAGCCGGAUUCGAGAAUCUGAUGGGAUUCAAACAGGCAUCAGCUAACCGUGACUACCAAAGCUGAUCAUCUGAGUCAGUCAAUGCAGGUGUGACUCAGCCUUAUCACAUUUCCCCAUCUCUCUCUUUAGCAUUCUUGACCCAUUCCCGGUUUAGGAGACUUUCCUGCAGAUUACAUCAAAACCCAGGAAAUCUAUAAUGAGGGGACAUCAAAAUCACACACAAAGAAUGGAGCAGAUAGCAGAUCAUCCUCCCACCUUUGCCCUAGAAUGUGAUGUACAUUCUAAAGCAAGGAACUAUGGGAAAUGCUCAGGGGCUUUGAAGCACUUUUUCAACUUUUUGCUUUGCUUUGGAAAAUUUCUUCUCUAUUUAAAACAUCCUAGUCUCCAGAACCCCAAAGUCUCUAUCUUAAACUUUGAUGAUAGGCUGAGGAUUUCAGAUGGUCAAAACACGCUUCUUCCUCAUGUAGUCGCGUAAGGUGGACAGAAUAUCCUACAUAACUACUGAGGACUAUGUGUGCCUAAUGCCCUUUCAGAGGCCAAGGAAUUGGAUAUUCUUCCCAUGAUUUAUCUCUGUACUCCCCUCCCUCCUGUAUUUGGCUUCUUUCUUUCUGUUCUUGAUUUUUAGAAUUCCACAGGCAGUGAAGAAAAAGAUUUGGGGGGAUUCUUGUUUUAUUAGACUUCAUAGGGAUGUGACAGAACCUGUCUCCUGGUUCUCUUGUGCAAAGAAUUGCUGUGUCCUAACUCCCAGGGUGUCUCCUGGUGUUCUAGGUAAGCCAAAAUGGAUUCUAAUCUCUACUUGCUGAAACCUGUGUGGUUAGGCAGUGGGGAGAGUGAGUGGUUUUCCUUCUGUCUACCUUCAUGAAGAUCCAGAACUGGAGCAUUUCACACAGGUAAAAUCAGCAUAGCCCAAAGGGAUUGUGAAGGUUAUAAAAGUCAAAAGAUUCUUAUAGCUGUUGAGCAGCUGUUCGCUUAACUGCAGUCCCAGAACCUAUAGAUGUGCUGCUACCUAUUUAUCAUGGAGGCUCAGUUUAUCAUGGGAACUCAGUGCCCAGCAGGCAUCUUAAUCCAUUAAGCAAGUUAAUCAAAACACCUCCAUGUAGAGGAACGCAUGUCCAUUCUCUCCUCAGCUUUAUCCUCAUGAAAUUUAGUGUCCAGGCUCCUAGCCAAUUGCUAUGUGCCCAGAUAGCCAAAUUAGAAGGCUGGCUUCCUGCUUAUCAUACUGAAGAAAUGCUAGGACUAGCCAGUGAUCCAUUUGCUUUCAAUUGUAUGGAAAAUGCUAUUGCCUCUUUUGUCGUUUCCAGUGACCUGUAUUCCAAGCAUCUUUUGCUAUGGAGUGAGUCUUUUCUAGGGAGGAAACCAAAGGGAUUAGCUGGAACCCCUAUUGAAAAUGUUUAUUCAAGUCUUCUGUGGUGAGUCUGCAGGUAUCACAUUCCCAGUCCACCCUUGGGAGUGGCUUGGUUGGGGAGCUAUGGGCAAGAUCUUGCUUACUGCAUAGUAUACAUGAAAAAAUGGCCUUAAACUGUGAUUCUUUGUGGUAUGAUGAGAUAUAAUAAACUGACCCUGAGGAUGCAAUGGCUCUUAAA